rnacentral:lncRNA from 1 species
CCAGCAGAAGUACCUGUAAGGUGUACUGAAAGCUGGAGGUGCUAGCUCUGCUCAAGUUAGCCACACUCUGCAAUUCAACAUUUUUCGGUUGCAAACUUCAUUAUCCUAUGUUUGUAUUGAGUACUGAAGUAUGUUAGUAUUGGAGUCACCAAACUUCAAAUCCAAGUUCAGUCUUGUUUUUAAUAACAUAGGAUAUGUGACAAAGGCAAGACCCCUAAACGCUUACACUAAGUUUAAACGUACCCAGCAAUAUUUAUGGACUUUUAACCCUCUCUGUUUACAAAAAAAAAACAGUGUGCAAACCAUUACGUUUUAAGCAAAGUUUUCGUUUACAUUAACCCGUGUAUAUAUGCUGUCAAGAGCAUAUCAAACAUGUGGGUGGCAGCGUAGAGAGAAGCUCAAGAACCACGUUAGCCAAUCAGAAUCCUGCAUAGCAGCAACAACAACAACGUCCCUUCCUUCUUUCCUGUGCACAAUCUGCCGUUGGCUUCCCAAGUCUCAGUUUUCCACCAUUUUCCACCUUUUACAUGCAAACAGAGUUUUCCAAAAUCUCCACUCUGGCCGGAAUUUUUAAAAAGCUUUUUUUUCAGGGGCGAAUUCUCCGUUUGUGUCCAAACAAAGGGUGCAAACGAUGGUUAAUGUCUCAGUUUUUGAAAAUAACCAAGUACGAGUAAACGGGGCCUUAGUAUUAUGUAGAAAAACCCAGAACAUCACCUUACAGUGUGUACUUCACCCUGAGUGUGUUAUUUUAGCUCAUCAACAGAUGGAUCCAUGCUGAACAGAAGGCUCUGUUGAUGGAUUGGAGAGACUACAGCGCAAGACGGAGACUCAACUCGCAGGUAAAAGUUACGACAAUUUGUCAAGCAUGUCCAUGAAGAGUGCAGCGCUCUCUCCAAAUCGAAUCGCACAUCGGCAAUCUUUCUCCUGCACCGCCAUCAAUACAAAUAAUAUUUUAAUCCAUAAGGAUCAUCUGAAAGAAGGAACUCUCUAUAACGAAAUCAGGAUAACAGAAUCCUGAGAAUGUAUUUUCAUCACCGUCUACAACAAAAUAAGAACAGGUUGAUAUUUGAAGAGCAGCUGCUGCAUUAUGCGCCUGUCAGUCAGACAAUAAAGAGUAGGUGGGUGAAUGAAAAAGUUGUCUCAGUAAUAUAAAUGUUUGAAAGUAACAUCUGCUGUUAAGAGCAGGGGGGACUCCAUCAUUUCACCUCCUUUUAAUCUCUUUAUUCAUAUCCCAGUUCUUAUAAACUGUUUGUCCCUGCUGGACUGUUUCUGUCCUUGAAUAGCCUCAUUGUUCAGAAUAACUGGCUUUAUUAAUCAGAACUUUUUAAGUUGUUUCUGGAUCGACGUUACCAUCAGUGUCCUCUACAAUACAAGAUUACUGUGUACCAGACAUAUUGUUAAGUGCAAAUGGCAGAACACAGCAGGAAGAAACUCGGGACAGGGGCAUGAUUUAUUGGGUACAAGUUGAAUGCACUGUAAACCAGAGGAGAGGGAACUUUUUAAUGGAUUCUCUGUGAAAGACAAACAACUUGAAGUGUUCCUGUUCAUCUUGUUGAAUGGAUUUGGGGCCUCUGGCACUCGCCAGGUGAGCUGUCAGAACUUUAACAAGCUUAGUGGUUUACAGCGCUUUACUGGAAUCUUCUAGUUUCAUUUUCUCUAUUUUCUGCCUCUCUUUCAGGGCAAUAAAAUGACUAAUAUCCUACUGUCAGAUUUAUUCUGUCCCCUAGUUGGUUGCUUGGCUACAUAAAGCCUCUGUCAAUCUCAAUGUGCUGGCACAAAGCGAACAGCAGCAGUCAGUUUAAAACAGCCUCAGCGGAACCCCGCAAAAUCAAUAACACUUCAUUUGUGAUAGAUGUGAAAUAAAAUUAAUGAAAAAAUGUUCCAUUUCCAAGAAGGUUACACUUUUCUCUAAUCUGGGCUUUAUCACUGACCCGCUGUGUUCUCAUUUAUACUAAUUUGGUAGAGCAGAGAGGAAAACAAGAACUGUAUAGGUCUGCAGCUGCCAUGCCGACCUGACUCGUAAUAUUCUCAGUCCAGUUUUCUCUGUUUUUCUUAACAUAUUUUUUGCAACAUUAGAAGAAUAGAUUUGUUUGAAAUGAAAUUCAGUAUUCAUAAGCAUGUGUAAAUCAGUGUUUUAUUACCUGAAUGUAAAAAUUGUUUUGUUUUGUUAACUGAGAACAGGCUUUUUACAUCUACAUAAGAGCUUCACUGUAUGAAUUAGAUUCUAUUAUCCUAAAACCACGAAGAAAAGAUAUACUCCAGAACUGCAGAACUGCAAGUGGAAAAAAACAAGUCCGCAUACAUAAAUAAAUAAUCAAGGUAAAAUGUUUAAUUAACAACGCUCUUAAUUUUAAAAUCAUGUAGCCCACCAUUACGCUAGAUACCACUAAAUAUAGCAAUUUCAACGCACUACUUCAAUGUUGUGAUUUUUUAAAAAUCAACAGUUUUAACCUUACCAUGAAAAUCCUUCUUUUAUACUCUUCCAGCUUUGUUUUGGGCUUCUAAAAGCUAACUGGUGAACUCCUUGGCUCUCUACUCUUAGAAAAAUGAUGAGAAAAAUACACACCUUUUACUGCCAGACUUUUCAUCACUUUUCCCCCGGGUAAAAAGAGAUCAACAGUAGAGUGAAAAAAAUAGAUUUUCUCUGUUAAAAAUGACUGUCUAUAGCGCACGCCACGAGAGAAUUUCUCCCAGAAUGAAAAUAAAGCUUUGCAGUAGCAACAGUACAGGGGUGGUAAAUCAUGUGGAUGGUCCGAGAGAAGUUUUCAAAGGACAAGAUAAUCAGAGACUUUAGGGGUUUAGAUGGAGGAAGAUGUAGUCGUUCAAGUCCCAUAACCAGAGAACAGAAGCUAACUUUCAGCAGCAUUUUUACAUUAUGAGCUAGCUUCACAAAGCUAGUUAAGAUAUGGUGUUUUUUUGACUUUGCCAACAUUUAACACUGACAGAACAAGGCACAAGCACAUAUUUAUGUUACCAUGGGCAUCAUACAUCAUGCUGUUUUCUUUCCUAAUGGCGGAAUCAGGUUGCAUGAAUCCAAAUCAUAAGAAGGCAUUUUCCAAACAUAUGUUGUGUAACAUACACAUCGCCAAUUUUUGAAUGAAUAGAUCUUAAGUGGUAAAGUGAAGAGCCUGCCACCAGCAGGUUUCAAUGCCAGACUCAUUUAAUUCAGCAUGAACUGUGUGUGUGUGUUUGUAGAGGACGUCCAGUUUUCUAUGAGGCUGGUUUAAUUUUCAAAGCAGUGUGAAUGACCACAAAUGGGUUGUUGAUGCCACUGAACAGCUGGUUUGCAGGAAAAAUGCCGUCCAACAAACCUAUAUCAUCUUUCAGGUACAGUAUAUUUUGGCUAUGGAGAAUACUACUCUAUACUUUAAAUGGAGAGUAUUUCCAACAAGUGCUGGGAAACACAAGAAAAUUACAAAUACCACAAGAAUAUUUUGCUUUAUCGUUUAGGGUGACUUUAUUCUGAAUCCACAAAAAGAGGACACGACUACGCGGGGGCGGAGUGACAGAGUCAUGGUGUCACACGUAGUUAAUUUUGAGAGUUUUUCUGGUCGCAUCGAGUGUUUUUUACGCGCUUCUAACUCAGUUAGUUCACACAGCACAAACUCAAAACUUCAAUACAUUUUUGAGUACUCCCCCAGACAAAGCAGGACAAGGUCAGACAGGCCGGACAGCCCCUCAAAAGAGAGGACAUGUCCGGGUAAAAGAGGAUGUAUGUUCACCCUAUUAUCAUUGACAUAUAUUACAGUCAAGUCAACUUGAAUUGACUUUUUUUGUUUUGAAACAUACGGUGUCAAAUAAAAAAAAGGCAUGUUCAGUUUUCUUACUGAUUUUGGAGUCUUCACAAAAACCAUGACCUGGAUGAAUGAGAAUCUACAUUGACUUUUCUUACUGUGGUCUUGUUCUCAAAGACUCUUCACAAAAACAGCUCUAAGCAACAUAAAGGUGCAUUUAAUUGGACUUCUUGAGAAAGACAUUUCUAAACCAUUUAAAUCAGAGAGUCCUUUUUUCUUUCUGGCCAUAUUGGAAUAACUAAUUAUUUUUCAAAACACAAAAAACACAAAAUUUUCCCUGGGUCCAUUGAAAAACAUAUUUUAACACCAAUUUGUGAAGACAGAGUAAGAGUAAGAGUAAGCAAUACAGCUUUUAGUUAUUUUUUUUUAUAUAGGAUGAUCCUAAACAGAGGCAGGGAGAGCUGGAGAAAACAUAACAGAUUUAAUAUCAAUAAGUUUUAUGUUGUUUCACGUUUGAUGGGAGGUGACCAUCACAUUACUUCAAUCUGUCCGCCGUGACGGUAAAAACUUUAUCAUCCUCUUAAAGUGUUUGGCAAAGUCGUAUGAAGGUGCAUGGAGCUCUGUGCUGAUUUAAAAUUGAAGCAGGAGACUCACGGUUGAUGAACAGCCUCUCGGGGAACAGGUAGACCUGUCUGGGAUCUCUUUUUUUGCUCACUUCUGUCGCUCUCUCAGUGCCCUCCUCUGCCUCUCUCCGGAGAACAGUUUCUGGACGGGCGGGGGAAUGUGUUGUCUACAUUGACAAAAAGAGAGAGAGAAGGUGAGAAGUAAAACUCUGAAGAGGCGGCUUUCAAAGUCAGUGUUACAGUUUGCAGGACACUUGAUUUUACAUACAUUAUGUCAUGUGAAGCACAGCAGAUAAAGGCUGUCUUAUCCGGAGCAGAUCAUUAGCUGUAAUCUUGCACUUAUCACCCUGAAUGAAUCAACACGAAAAGAGCACACUGCCUUUUUUGCAGUCUAUCUGUGGUAAAUUGUCGUUUUUACACAGUAGACUCACUUGACACCAGUAAUAUCUGCUGAGUGUGAGAGAGCAGUUGAAUUCUCUGACUGCUCUCGCUGCGAUUGUCUUUUCCUAACUCCCAAUAUCCACCUCUCCUUAACCCUGUGACAUUCUCAAUCAGGGUUAAUGAAAAGAGGAUAGGACAGGACUUAGGGGGUCAUUUUUUGGACUUUAGACCUUCAAUCUUUCUAUUUCACUUUCUGGUUUAGCUGAGUUAAAAAAAGCAUCAUGUGCAGUGGCUCCAGUUCCCACUCUGUAGACCCAAGAUUUGAUUUUGUUAUAUUGUGAUAUUUUCUGAUUCUUAUCUGUUACAGUUGGGCAGUUGUAUUUACAGCUGUCACUGCAUGUUUUGUCGUAACAAUGUAAGUGACUCAUGCUCCUGAAUGCGAUGCUCUGCCUCAUCUCUCCCUUUGCCUUUUUGCCUGGAGAUGCAUCGCUGCCUUACGAGGCAGCAAGUAAAGCUCAGAGAAACAACAUCAUUCACUGUAACAUCCUUACAUUACCUAUUUGUUUUCUCUUUUCUGUGCUCACUGCCGCACUCCCCCCCCUUGAUUUAAAACAGGCUUCAUAUGAAGGCCUUACACUGUCUCGCUGCCUGUUGUUUACAACGCUGCGCCGCUGUUUUUCUUCUCUCCUGCCAUGAGACGGAGGACAAAGCUCAGGUAGCUCAUCCCACACACUGACCAAUAACACACAUCAUGGUGUCCAUAAGUCAGGGCUGUGAGGGUCUAUGGUGGUAAAGAAAAACAGCUUGUCUACUUCAACUGCCUUUGUGUCCAAAGGAUGCAUUUAUAAAGAUGUACGUUAGUCAUCCGCUGAGAUUAGUGGUCGACGGAGAUCGAUGUUUCAGCGGCUGAUGCUAAUUUGAGGACAGGUCAACCAGCGGCCAUUAUAUGAUGCCGAUAUCAUGCUGUUGAAAUAUUUCGUGGAGGUGGAUUGCUUUCAAGAGCCGUUCUAUGAAUGAGAUAACCUUAAACCUCUGGAUGUACGCCGAAUUCUUCUUGUUCAAAAUAAAACCACUGAAAUAUCUUCUUAACAAAAUUGAAGAAAAUCUGAAAACUUCAUUUUUCUUCGAGUGCCUCAUUUAGUGAACCAGCUUUUAAAAAAAAUCUAUUUACUGAGACCCAUUAUUCAAGUUACAGGGGGGGUUGUCCUUUCUCUAUAAUGGAAAAAGAAAUUGCAGCACUUCACCUUUGAAAAGACAAGUUGUUUGUUUUAUUUUUUAUUAAAUCCACAUGUAAAGGGAUUGUGCUCAAUUUCUGACUAAUUAAUUACAGGUCAGCGGAGUUCAUCCCUGCAAACUCCUGUAGCUGGUUCUUUGUGAGCAGAAGAAGAAAAGAAACUCGAUUACUGCUCUAAUCACAAAUAGAGAGACUUCUUAACAACCUCAAGUGCCAAAGAGAAGGUCCAAAGACACACACAAAAAAGUGUGUCACUGCCAGGCUCGAUGUAAUUGUUGUAAUGGCUCCUUCCCCAUCCCCACUGAACAGUAGUUUCUCUUCCUAAAGGGUAAUGGAAAAACUUUGGACACUUCUCCGGUGUAAGGAGGGCUGUUUAACAAACUGGCACUUUGUUGCUUAAAGAUAUUACAAGCACAUAUAGGUGAUAGACUAACUGCUUUGUUAAAAUGGCUCCCGGGAAAGCAAGGUUACUCCCUCUCCAACGCUUCUUAUUGAGGUCACACCGCUGUUUUGUGCGCGAUUGUGUUACCUUUAUAAGUGUCUUUUUUCAGCUCAAUGCAAUUACUUUAUUCAUAAUUGUGUGUAUUUAUUUUGUCUGCCUAUUGAGUCCUGGGGCAAACAUGAGAUUUCUCUGUUAUUGUUCACUGCAGGAAGUAUAUUUUGUGUCCAAUUUCUUUCUGUGCAUUCUCCCUCACAGGAUUUGUGUCAAACUUGAUAUUCACAGAAAAUAUACAAAUUAUAUUUUAUUGAUUUUACAACCUUUAAAGGGAUAUUGUGCGUAAAAUUAAUUUAGGGUCAAACACUCCCUAACAUGGAGUUAGACACCCCCUCGAGAGAUGAAAGUUGGUGACCGCUUGCUUCUCUAGUUUUACCAACUUUGGUAACGACCGCACGAUAGCAAUACACAGCGGUCUGAGGAGCCAUAAACAAACCUGAACCAAAAUGCCACUCUAUAGCCACAAAUAAUGCUCAGAACAGCACCUAACUUCAUCAACAGUAUUUUAAGGGUCCUAGCCACAGCACUAGCCACCAAACAUCUUUUUAACUUUGCCUUAUUUCUUAAGCAAAGAGACUAAACACAACUCACCUACUCUCCUCCAGCAGCCGCUUGUUUGUAGAGACCUCAGGCCAGUCCAUUAUGGACUACAGCGGGGUGUCACAGCUCAAGGAAGAACAUUUAGAAGAACUACAAAAUGAUUAUUUUGAUGAUUGUUACUUCAAGGAAAUGAUAAAAAAAUGAUCAUAAAUGUUCUUCCUUCAGCUGCAUCACCCCGCAGCAGUCCGUAAUGGACUGGCCUGAGGUCUCGCUGAAUAUUGAAUAUGAACUUGUAAUAAACUAGGCUCGUCACACUGAAAAUCAAAUUCGUUUGCAUUCGACAUUUGUACUGACCUUUCGUACAAAUGUUUAAACCAUAAGUCUUGACCUACACUGGCCAGCACACACAGGUCGCAAAAGGUCUACAAAUAUUGAGUAGUCUAAGUAAGACUUAUUUAUUCUAAAAGAUCUUCUCAAUAAGUCUUUGCCAAUAGCCUGUAAGCAGCUUCAUCUCUGCUGGCCUUUCUGUAAGGGAGACGUUUUUCAAGCUAAACUAUCCUCCCACAGUUCAAUGACCUCAAGUAACGACCUUGUCCUAUCAUGUCAAUCAGUUUCUAAAAGUUUUAAGUCAGUCCAUACUGCAUGUAUUAACUCUGUGACGUGACCAUGGUUUUAUUUAUCAUCCUGAUGGUACAGACUCACUACAUGCAGCCAAGAUGCCCUGAGACACGCCGCCCACCUCAGCUGCUUCACUUGCUGUCCUUAAUUGAUGAGUGUUCAAACAAACAAACUAACAGCCCACAUGUUUUAUUUGCUCACUAGCACUGUUUUAUUUAAAUGCAUGAUUUUGACAUGAUGAGGGAGAAAAGAUAUAAAACAGUGGCACUGCAAGGUAUCAAAAGAUGCUUCACACUGAGAAGCAGACUGUUGAAAUAGACAACAAAUAAUAAACUCCGGGCAGGUAAAUGGACACAGUCCUGUAAUGAGAGGGAAUGUGAGCGAGAGAUCAAAUCUCCAGGAUCAAAAGCCUCUAUAUUUAAUUUUCUCUGGACCAUGAAAGUGUGCGCCAAACCAUGACUGCCAUACAGAAGUUAGCCAAAGAUUAAAUGUGAAAAUUCAAAAGAUGUUGAGUGUUUCUUGUUCAGAGUUUAAAACCGGUUUCAAUAAAACCCUUCAGAAAAACUGCACCCUCAAGUACAAAUAUGAGCACAAACUGCUCAGACCAAAGUCAUUAUUUUGUACAAGGCUUUGAAUAUGAAACAGGAGCAAACAUGGAGGUUGCCUCUUUGUUUAAAUGAACAAUGCCACUAUUUUACAAUAUUGUGUGAAACGUCACUGAUAGAUCCCUCUUCAGCCCCAGAGUAUUAUACUUUUUAUGAAAAGACGAACAAACAAAUGGCCAAUUAUGCCUCUUAUUCUUAGACAUUUUUAAACAUGAGAGUAAACUAGGGUGAACAUAUUCUGAAUCCCCAAAAAGAGGACACGACUACGCAGGGUGAAGUCGCGUGCAAGAUUUUGAGGGGUUUUCAAGUCGAAUCGAGUGUUUUUUCUGAUGCUAGAAAAACUCAAAACUUUCAUACAAAACCCAGACAUUUGAAGGGUUUUAUCAAUUCCCCCCCGGACAGGAAAAGAGCCCCUAAAAAGAGGACAUGUCCGGGUAAAAGAGGACGUAUGGUCACCCUAAACUCUAGAGUAAACCCAAAGC